ensembl:lncRNA
AUCCUGCAAUGUGUGCUAGUGAUGUCACUGUUCAUAUUGUUAAGAGCAAUGUUGAUGUUAAGUAACACAGCCAUUAGGAAGGAUAGUUUAAGUUUUUAAGACGAUUUGGGAUGAAUUAAUACAUGAAUAUUAAUAUUAAUAGCAAUUUGAAUACGAAUAAUUUAAUAAAAAACGAAUAGCUGGAAUAAUCAUUUGAAAGCAGGACCAAAGGGGUGGGGGGGGGGGGCGUGGCUGGGGUAUGUGGAACAUUGCUAUGUUGGCAAGGUUAUUAAUUAAUGUAUUCCCCAAAAACACAAGCCCCCUAUUCCCGUACAGGAUUUACACCUGUGCCGAAGUUUGUGUUUCCGCUUCAAAGAAAUUGCGACCUGUGAAAACCGAAACGGAUCCUUUGCGCCUUUUUACCCUGACUGAGUUUUAUACGUAAGACCCCAAGGAUUUCGCUCCUGAGACGAACACUCUGAAAUAGAAUUUCACGGAUACAUAGGAAAUCUAACACUUCAAAGCGAACCGUGUUGUGUAAAACGUGUCCUUACACUCCGUGUUGAGGAUAAGGAUGUUGUACUGCGUCGCCCCGGCGACCCCGGUCCACGCCAGCCGUACGGUGCGUCCUACUAUCUCCACCACUCGCAGGUUGGUGAUUCUUCCAACCAGAGGCAACGCUGCGCACAGCAUUCACAGCGUAAACAACUCACAUGCAGUUAUAAAUCGAACACAUCUGCUUCAUGCUCCACGUCAUCAUGCCUGACAGAUCAUCUUACAGUACCCAUGCAGGUCAGAAACAGGGCUGUGUUUGAUAAUUCCUCUCAAGUGUACAUUUUUAUUCAUUAAAAAAAAAUCUGCAACAUUUAUAAUAUCAUACCGGCUGCUUCAAGUUAUUUAGAAAAUGUUCAAAUUUAAUUAAAAAAAAAGAUGAUGAUCACGACGUCUCAGAAAAGCAUACUGUGACAUAACUUCUCUCAUAUGACCCCGCCCUAUACACUACACUCCAGAUGAGCAGCACUCAUGUCGUCCUGCGAGCUAGUUAGUUAACUAGCAUUUAUCUUCAGUUAACUAGCAUUUAUCUUCAGUUAACUAGCAUUUAUCUUCAGUUAACUAGCAUUUAUCUGUAGUUUACUAGCAUUUAUCUUCAGUUAACUAGUAUUUAUCUUCAGUUAACUAGCAUUUAUAAUUAGUUAGCUAGCAUUUAUCUUCAGUUAACUAGCAUUUAUCUGUAGUUUACUAGCAUUUAUCUUCAGUUAACUAGCAUUUAUCAUUAGUUAGCUAGCAUUUAUCUUCAGUUAACUAGCAUUUAUCAUUAGUUAGCUAGCAUUUAUCUUCAGUUAACUAGCAUUUAUCUUUACUUAACUAGCAUUUAUCUUCAUUAAACUAGCAUUUAUCUUCAGUUAACUAGCAUUUAUCUUCAGUUAAGUAUAAUUUAUCUUUAGUUAAUGAGAAUUUAUCUGUAGUUAACUAGCAUUUAUCAUUAGUUAACUAGCAUUUAUCAUUAGUUAACUAGCAUUUAUCUUCAGUUAACUAGCAUUUAGCUUCAGUUAACUAGCAUUUAUCUUUAGUUAAGUAGCAUUUAUCUUUAGUUAAUGAGAA